rnacentral:misc_RNA from 1 species
GAAAUGCGAUAAGUAAUGUGAAUUGCAGAAUUCAGUGAAUCAUCGAAUCUUUGAACGCACCUUGCGCUCCUUGGUAUUCCUUGGAGCAUGCCUGUUUGAGUUUCAUGAAAUCUUCAAAGUAAAUCUUUUGUUAACUCAAUUGGUUUCUACUUUGGUAUUGGAGGUCUUUGCAGCUUCACACCUGCUCCUCUUUGUUCAUUAGCUGGAUCUCAGUGUUAUGCUUGGUUCCACUCGGCGUGAUAAGUUAUCUAUCGCUGAGGACACUGUAAAAGGUGGCCAAGGUAAAUGCAGAUGAACCGCUUCUAAUAGUCCAUUGACUUGGACAAUACUUUUAUGAUCUGAUCUCAAAUCAGGUAAGACUACCCGCUGAACUUAAGC